ACGUAGGUGGCAAGCGUUGUCCGGAAUUACUGGGUGUAAAGGGAGCGCAGGCGGGGAAGCAAGUUGGGAGUGAAAUCUAUGGGCUUGACCCAUAAAUUGCUUUCAAAACUGUUUUUCUUGAGUAGUGCAGAGGUAGGCGGAAUUCCCGGUGUAGCGGUGGAAUGCGUAGAUAUCGGGAGGAACACCAGUGGCGAAGGCGGCCUACUGGGCACCAACUGACGCUGAGGCUCGAAAGUAUGGGUAGCAAACAG
rnacentral:rRNA from 1 species